UACAGAGGGUGCUAGCGUUGUUCGGAAUUAUUGGGCGUAAAGGGAGUGUAGGCUGUUCGGCAAGUCUUCUGUGAAAUCUACGGGCUCAGCCUGUAACGUGCAGAGGAAACUGCCGAGCUUGAGUGUCGGAGAGGAUAGGGGAAUACCCGGUGUAGAGGUGAAAUUCGUAGAGAUCGGGUGGAACACCAGUGGCGAAGGCGCCUGUCUGGCUGACAACUGACGCUGAGACUCGAAAGCAUGGGGAGCAAACAGG
rnacentral:misc_RNA from 1 species